rnacentral:sRNA from 1 species
ACUCAGCAGGUAGAGUAGAGGACUGGAAAUCCUCGUGUCACCAGUUCAAAUCUGGU